rnacentral:rRNA from 1 species
AUUGAACGCUGGCGGCAUGCCUUACACAUGCAAGUCGAACGGCAGCACGGGAGCAAUCCUGGUGGCGAGUGGCGAACGGGUGAGUAAUAUAUCGGAACGUGCCCGGUCGUGGGGGAUAACGUAGCGAAAGCUACGCUAAUACCGCAUACGAUCUACGGAUGAAAGCGGGGGAUCGCAAGACCUCGCGCGAUUGGAGCGGCCGAUAUCAGAUUAGGUAGUUGGUGAGGUAAAGGCUCACCAAGCCGACGAUCUGUAGCUGGUCUGAGAGGACGACCAGCCACACUGGGACUGAGACACGGCCCAGACUCCUACGGGAGGCAGCAGUGGGGAAUUUUGGACAAAUGGGCGCAAGCCUGAUCCAGCCAUGCCGCGUGUGUGAAGAAGGCCUGGUGUAAGCACUUCUACGUCGAGGAGGAAGGGAGGUUGU